UAGUAAGCAUUAUCUCUAUUCAAACAUUAUGCUUUGGUUUAAAAAAACCAUGGAUCUUAUCUGCUAAGGAAUCAAGUGAAUCAAGCACAUUCUCUCCAAGACAUGAAGAAUCAUAACAUUUUCCUUUCUUAAUUUCAAACCAAAAGGGACGUUAUUCCUUCCAAACAAAGAACCAAAAGACCUUUUCUAUUGAAAUUGAAAACGUUAUUUCGUUCCAAGAUCUUUAGGAACAAGAAACAAAUUUCGUCCGUGAAUUUCUAAGGAGCGGGGGCAAAAUUUAGUUCAACCAACAAAGAUUUUCCAACAAAAUAUUAUACGGGGUUUUUCCUACUCCAGGUAUGUUAAGGUUAAGCUCUUCUUUCUUUUGGCAUGGUCCAAAUUAUACUGAAAAACGAGCAAAUACACAAUUUUUAUAAAUUAUUAUAUUCAUAGAAAUUGUAAAGGUGUCUAUAUUCUUGAUUCAUCAUGAGAAAUAUUAUUACCUUCUGUUCAUGGGUCUUAGAAUAAUACGCAGUUGGAAAAAUUUAUCCGGAAGGAAUAUUGAGAUUAUUACAUAUUUCUCAUGCAUUUCAUACAUGUGCAUUGACCCAUGACUAGAUGGUGUUAUAUAGGCGUAUAUAUGUAAAUAUAUGUAUAUGGGAUAUGGGAAAAGGUUACGGCGUUAUAUACACACCACUACCUGAUUAGCUGGUAUAUGAUGAUGAUGUUGCCCACAGUGGAAGAAAUAUGAUUUAAACGAUGUUAUAUACGCGUAUACAUGUAUGUAUAUAUAUAUAUAUAUGAUAUGGAAAUGUUAUGGCGUUAUAUACGCACCACCACCUGAUCAGCUGGUAUACGAUGAUAAUUUUGCCCACAGUGGCCGAUAUGAUAUGAUGGGAUGCCCAUAGAGGCUGAUGGUGUUAUGAAACAUGUACCUAUGCACGACAUGACAUUAAUAUGCAUAUGGAUGAUGCUAAAAAUAAUUUAUGAUUUACAAAGUUAUUCAGACAUACAGGUUGAGUCAUGUACUGUAUAUGUCUUCCAUGUCUCUUAUGUAUUUAUUUAUGUGCCUUACAUACUCGGUACAUUAUUCGUACUAACAUCCCUUUUGCCUGGCGACGCUGCAUUUUAUGCCUGCAGGUCCCGAUAGACAGGUCGAGAGCCCUCCAAGUAUGCUAUCAGCUCAGUGGAAGAUGUUGGUGCGCUCCAUUUGCUUUGGAGUUGCAUGUUUGGUUAGUAUGAUAUAGACGUGUAUUUUUUUGGUUUCGCGGGACUCUGUCCCGACCUUUAUGACAUUUAUGUACUCUUAGAUGCUUGUAGACAUAUGUCGUGUACGUGAAAGAUUGUACGGACUUGUCGUCCUAUGUUUUGAGUUUAUAAAUGAUUAUGUUGGCCUAUUAGUCCCGUAUGACACCUGUAUAUGAUGAUGUAAUAAGAAAGAUACGCUACGUUGGUACUCGGUUGAGUAAGGUACCGGGUGCCCGUCGCGGCCCAUCGGUUUGGGUCGUAACAGUAGAUGGGUUCCGGGUUUAGGUAAGUGUAUAUAGGGUCUGGGUUGGGCAAUUGGGCGGGGGUUGGGUUAAAUUUAGGCUACAAUCGAAAUGUAAAUCUAGCUAUAAUUUAAAUAGCCAAUUUUUUCUAUUUAAUAUAUAAUAAGUAAUAAACAAUUUCUGAAAAAUAAUUUAUGUAUCAAAAUGAUUUAAAAUAUAUAUAUUUAUCAUUAUAAAAAUAUAGGGACCAAUAUUACGCAUAUAAAAUGUAAUUAUCUAUUAAAUGGGCUAACAUUGCAAUUAUAUGCAAUUUUGCUUAAAAAUACCAAAUGCAAUUAUAAAAUGCAUAAAAAAUAUAUUAACCAUAUUUUGGCAUAUUUAUAGAGAUUAAAUGAAUAAAUCAUCAUAACAAUAAUUUGAGAAAUAAAUAUUGGGGAUUUUAUGAAUAAAAGGGAAGGAAAUAAAUCAAUUUAAAUCAUUAAAAUUAUGGAAAAAACUAUAAAAACCUUGUGCAUGCGUAUAUAUGCAUAUAUAUGCUAUUUCAAAGGUAUUUAUGCAUAUAAAAACAUAUAGGGAAAAAUUGGGUAUCAACAGCGUGUUCGGAGUGUGUUUUGGAGGUCCGUAGCUAAUUUAGGCUUGAAAUGCCGAAAGUCAAAUUUUGAAGUUUCUGGUUCGAUAGUGAGAUUUUGAUCCGAGGGUCGGAAAGGAAUUCCGGAAGUUGGAGUAGGUCUGUAGUAUUGAAUAAGACGCGUGUGCAAAAUUUCAGGUCAUUCAGACGAGGUUUGAUAGACUUUUUGAUCGAAAGCGUAUUUUUAGAGUUUUGGAGUUCUUAGGCUUGAAUCCGCGGUUGAUUCGUCGUUUCGAUGUUGUUUUAGGUAUUUUAAGGAUUGCUAUAAGUUUGGACAGUGGUAUUAGACUUGUUGGUGCCUUUGGUCGAAGUCCCGGGGGCCUCGGAAUGGUUUCGGAAGUUUGUCGAAAUAAUUUGGAAUUUGUUUGAGCAGCUUCAGUUGCUGGUCUUCUGUCAUAACCGCACCUGCGGUUGGGUCCCGCAGGUGCGUAGCCCUAGAAGCGGGCAAUUUACCGUAGAAUUGGUACCACAUCUGCGUAUGGGGAGUCAUAAGUGCGGAAGGUUAAGUUUAAGUGAAAUGUCGCAGAAGCGACCAUGUCCUUGCAGAAGCGGGACCACAGGUGCGAUCCCAUGACCACAGAAGCUGAUUAGCUGGGCCAAAACAUAUAAAUUCUUGCCUUCACGAAUUUGAGCUAUUUUCACCUCUUUCCAAACGGGAAGAAGCCUUGGAGAACAUUUUCAGGAGAUAUUUUCAGAGGAAUUUGUUGGGGUAAGGUCUUUGGUCCCUAAACUAGUUAUUGGGGUAAUUUUUACCAUUAUAAACAUGAAAAUUUAAGGAAAAUCAGUGGUAAUUUGGGGGUUAGGGCUUGACUAAUUAUAGACCUUUGAGUGAAGAUUUGAGGGACUAUUUGAGGUCCGAUUUUGGUAUUUUUGGUAUGACUGAACUCGUGAGAGUGUGAAGAUUCUGGAAAUGAAAAUUUUACCUGAUUCCCAGACGUGCGCCCGUGGGACGUUUUGGUUAUUUUACCUAAUUUCAAGUAUUAGCUUAGAAUUUCUUUAUAGAAUCAGUUACUUGAAGUGUUAUUUACAUUAUGAAUUUGAAUUGAAUAGACUUGGGCCAUUUGGAGUCGAGUACUCGUGGCAAGAGCGUGGUUUCAGAUUGAUUUGAGCUGGUUCGAGCUAAGUGGCUUACCUAACCUUGUGUGGGGGACCUUCCCCUUAGGAUUUGGUAUAUUUUGUAAUUGUAAUGGCUUGUACGUUAGGUGACGAGUGUGUACUUGAGCUAAUUGUUGAAAAUCCGAUUUUCUUUAAGUAAUUUCAAUGGUGUUCCUUUUUCCUGCUUUAUACUACUUGCAAUUUAAGCCUUAAUUGUUAGCUUAGAAAAAGCAUGUUUAUUUAACUUAAUUACUUAUUCGCUUAAAAUGCCGUAAUUGUAUUAUGUGAAGCAUGUUAGGUUAGAAUUACCAGUUUACUUGGUACGAAAUUGAGAUUAAUUGAGUAUUCUUUGUGUUGCUGCUUUGUGUUAUCAUUUUGGGACUACAGGACGGCAUCCCAGGAGAUCCCCUACAUGUAUUUAUGAUUGAGAUGAGGUGCGGGAUACCGAGAGAUCCCUAGCAUAUAUAUUGAGGAUACCAAGAGAUCCUCGGGAUACCGAGAGAUGCCUAGCACGUAUAUAGAGGAUACCAAGAGAUCCUCGGGAUACCAAGAGAUCCCUGACAUAUAUUGAGGAUACUGAGAGAUCCUCGGGAUACCAAGAGAUCCCUAGCAUAUAUUGAGGGUACUAAUAGAUCCUCGGGAUACUGAGAGAUCCCCGAUUAUUAUCCUUGUGAAGAAUGGUAUCUCCUUGUGAUUGUUUUUGCCUCUGUUUCAAUUAUUGAGUUCCUUAUAUUCCUGUAUUAAAUUCUUAUUGUUAGCUUUCAAUUGUACUAUUUAGCUUACUCUGUCAUACCUUAUAUGUUUAUUUAUCUCAGUAGGGUCCUUACCUUCCCCGUCACUACCCGAUCGAGUUUAGGCUUAACACUUACUAAGUACCGCUGUGGUGUACUCAUGCCUUUUCUGCGCAUGUUUUUUAUGUGCAGAUUCAAGAACUUCGACUUAGUCCUAUCACACUUGAGGCGAGGCAACUGCUCCAGAGACGUCGAGGUAUAUCUGCCGUGUCCACAGACCGAGGAGUCCCUUUCCAUUCUAUCUUGUUGUGAUAGCCCUUCUAUCUUUUCUGUUGAUGUAGACAUUCCGGAGUUAGAGCAUUUUUAUUAUAUUUGUAGCUUGUGAUUCAUGGGUUUCUGGGUUUUGGGAAAAUGUAUUAGUUUUUGAGAGUUAAUAUUGUGUAUACCGAGCGGCACUUUUAAACACUGUUUUAUUACACUAUUUCUGUUUUAAAUUAUUUUUCUUCCGCAAAUUGGUUUAUCUUUCGCAUUUUUGGCUUACAUAGUCGUAGAAACUAGGUGUCAUCAUGAUGGUUUACGGAAGGCGAACCGGGGUCGUGACAAUUUGUGCAUCUUUGACCAAGUCCAACUUCUCUCCACCGUGAAGAAAUUGCCCUAUGAAGAAACUG
rnacentral:lncRNA from 1 species